rnacentral:lncRNA from 1 species
CGGGCCUCAGGGCGUCGGCGGCGUCGGCGUGAACCGUGUGAGCGCGUUCACACGGGGCGCGCCGAGGAGAGGAGGGUCCGCGUCGACCCUUUCCCCAGAAACGUGUAACAAUGGCUGCUGCCCUAAAGUCAGAUGAAUACAAAAAUAAGCGUAAAAAGGAAGCAAAGGUGAGGAGCUUGAACUAGGUAGAAUUAUUGUUUAAAUUGCAGUAAUUUCCUUUUCACUUGUGUUCUGUUUCUUUAAGUCAUGGAUACAAAGGUAUGGCAUGGCUGGGGAAAUCCAUGGAUGUUACUUUUUCUUUAAACUCACUUUUUUUCUCUUUAUAGAAUGAAACUUCAGGAACUGCACAGUUGAGUUUUUUGAAAAAAGAUCUGAUUCCUGAAAGCUCCCAGAAAUUUCAUAAAACUGAUACUUUGGAAACCAUUUUAAAGGAUACAGGCAAAGAAAUCAAUGCUCUGUUAUCAAAGUAUGCACAGAUUUUGAGGCAAGUACAUUAUUUUACUUUUGACAGUUUCAACUUUCUUUUUUGAACACGUAUUCAGCUGUUGAUGUAACUGAUAUUUCCCAAAUUGUGUUUUAGUCCUUUUUAUUUACUAAGAAGCAAAAAUAAACCAACUGUUUGCCCGUUGUAACAAAAUGCUUUCAGCUAGAAAAACAGAUUUAAAAUAUAUAGCAAGAUCCAAAGUUAUUUAGUGUCUGUCUUCUGAACCAACAUACUCUUAACUGUGUACGUUGCAUUGGUAAAAUUCAGUUGUUUUGCUGCCUUGCUUCUGUCAGCAGUGUGUGUAGGGGAAUACUAUCUUGUAAUAACUCUCAGUGUAUCUUUCAUGUCUGCCCUGGCUAUUUGGAAGACCCUGGAGCUGUUUUAGG